AUUGAACGCUGGCGGCAGGCCUAACACAUGCAAGUCGAGCGGAUGAAGGGAGCUUGCUCCUGGAUUCAGCGGCGGACGGGUGAGUAAUGCCUAGGAAUCUGCCUGGUAGUGGGGGAUAACGUCCGGAAACGGGCGCUAAUACCGCCUACGUCCUGAGGGAGAAAGUGGGGGAUCGUCGGACCUCACGCUAUCAGAUGAGCCUAGGUCGGAUUAGCUAGUUGGUGGGGUAAAGGCCUACCAAGGCGACGAUCCGUAACUGGUCUGAGAGGAUGAUCAGUCACACUGGAACUGAGACACGGUCCAGACUCCUACGGGAGGCAGCAGUGGGGAAUAUUGGACAAUGGGCGAAAGCCUGAUCCAGCCAUGCCGCGUGUGUGAAGAAGGUCUUCGGAUUGUAAAGCACUUUAAGUUGGGAGGAAGGGCAGUAAGUUAAUACCUUGCUGUUUUGACGUUACCAACAGAAUAAGCACCGGCUAACUUCGUG
rnacentral:rRNA from 1 species